GACAGGGGUGCAGUAUUCUGCUGAGAUAUGACCCUUUGUACCUGAUCUAGGUUAUGCUAGCGUAGGGAGUUCCAAA
rnacentral:ncRNA from 1 species